rnacentral:rRNA from 1 species
AGUGAACGCUGGCGGUAGGCCUAACACAUGCAAGUCGAACGGCAGCACAGUAAGAGCUUGCUCUUACGGGUGGCGAGUGGCGGACGGGUGCGGAAUACAUCGGAAUCUACUUUUUCGUGGGGGAUAAAGUAGGGAAAAUUACGCUAAUACCGCAUACGACCUACGGGUGAAAGCAGGGGAUCUUCGGACCUUGCGCGAUUGAAUGAGCCGAUGUCGGAUUAGCUAGUUGGAGGGGUAAAGGCCCACCAAGGCGACGAUCCGUAGCUGGUCUGAGAGGAUGAUCAGCCACACUGGAACUGAGACACGGUCCAGACUCCUACGGGAGGCAGCAGUGGGGAAUAUUGGACAAUGGGCGAAAGCCUGAUCCAGCCAUACCGCGUGGGUGAAGAAGGCCUUCGGGUUGCAAAGCCCUUUUGUUGGGAAAGAAAAGCAGCAGGUUAAUACCCCGCUGUUCUGACGGUACCCAAAGAAUAAGCACCGGCUAACUUCGUG